GAUUGUGCUACCCACUGUGCCACCGUGAUGCCCCUGAUAUGAUGCAGAAAAUCCAGACUGCAGAAAUAACCAACACAGAUUCAGCAGCAGUAGAAAUCAACAGUAGCGGAGAUCCAGCGUCUGAAGGACCUGAAGGAGACCAUUAUUACUGAGAGACUCACAGCGCUCACAUUCACCACUGAACACACCACUGAACAAUUAUACUGCGAUGGAGAACACUGAGAAGAGCUGAAGAGAACAGAUGACAUGCCUAUGAGUGACACAGGAGCUUCUUAAGUCAGACUCAGCUUGCCAACUGAAGAUAGAGAGACUAAAGAGAAUAAGAUGUAUGAGAUCCUGACUGCACAAAUAAUCAGCAGAGAUCCAGCAGCAGCAGAAAUCAACACUAGCUGAGAUCCUGAGUCUGGAGGACCUGAAGGAGACCAUUAUUACUGAGAGACUCACAGCACUCACAUUCAUCACUGAACACACCACUGAACAAUUAUACUGGGAUGAAGAACACUGAGAAGAGCUGCAGAUGAGGACAGGAACAGGCAGACGAGCUGAAAAACACCAGAGAAUAGCGAGACACCAACAUUAUUUGUACCUUUUAGGUAAACAAUAUAAGGGUUAAUUAACUUUAUGUGGUAAAAAAGCCUAAAAGAAGAAAAGUUUUAAAACAGCUUUACAAAAAAAAAAAAAUUGAGUUUUUUCCUGAUUAUUUCCUUUCUUUCUUUUCUUUUAAUCCUUAAAUCAGUUUUAAAGCUCAUUUCUGUUUACAAGAUAAUUCAAUAUUUUUUCUGAAAAACAAAUUAGAGAACUUUGAUAUUAUCAUAUGUUGCAUUUGUGUAUAUAUUGUGUACUUUAUUUAGAUAAUUUUAAAGGUUUUUUUCUUCAAAAUGUUUGUUUUUGCACACUCAGACUCGAGAUACACAACUAUUUGAAAAUCUAAACCAAACAACGUCAUUUCCUAACAAUCCAAAUCCAUAAAUCACUGUAUUUAAAGCGUAUUUAUUCAGCUUUCAGAUGUUGUUUUGACUAAUACUAUGACUGGUUUUGUGGUUUUCUGCUUUGGUAGCUUAUAAUGUAUUAGUAUUUAAAGUUGUGCACAGAAAACUCUAGAUUACAUUGUGUUUGUGAAUAUUGGCCACUUAUUUACAUCCUGCUGAUGAAGCUUAACUUUAGUACUGUGUUAAAUAUUCUUUUAAUAAAAUAUGACAGUUUGAUCAGUA